AACGAACGCUGGCGGCAUGCCUAACACAUGCAAGUCGAACGAGACCUUCGGGUCUAGUGGCGCACGGGUGCGUAAUGCGUGGGAACCUGCCCUUAGGUUCGGAGUAACUCCCCGAAAGGGGUGCUAAUACCGGAUAAUGUCUUCGGACCAAAGAUUUAUCGCCUUUGGAUGGGCCCGCGUUGGAUUAGCUAGUUGGUAGGGUAAAAGCCUACCAAGGCGACGAUCCAUAGCUGGUCUGAGAGGAUGAUCAGCCACACUGGGACUGAGACACGGCCCAGACUCCUACGGGAGGCAGCAGUGGGGAAUAUUGGACAAUGGGCGAAAGCCUGAUCCAGCAAUGCCGCGUGAGUGAUGAAGGCCUUAGGGUUGUAAAGCUCUUUUACCCGGGAUGAUAAUGACAGUACCGGGAGAAUAAGCUCCGGCUAACUCCGUG
rnacentral:rRNA from 1 species